rnacentral:rRNA from 1 species
CGGGUGAGUAACACGUGGGUAACCUGCCCAGAAGUAGGGGAUAACACCUGGAAACAGAUGCUAAUACCGUAUAACAGAGAAAACCGCAUGGUUUUCUUUUAAAAGAUGGCUCUGCUAUCACUUCUGGAUGGACCCGCGGCGUAUUAGCUAGUUGGUGAGGUAAAGGCUCACCAAGGCAGUGAUACGUAGCCGACCUGAGAGGGUAAUCGGCCACAUUGGGACUGAGACACGGCCCAGACUCCUACGGGAGGCAGCAGUAGGGAAUCUUCCACAAUGGACGCAAGUCUGAUGGAGCAACGCCGCGUGAGUGAAGAAGGGUUUCGGCUCGUAAAGCUCUGUUGUUAAAGAAGAACGUGGGUAAGAGUAACUGUUUACCCAGUGACGGUAUUUAACCAGAAAGCCACGGCUAACUACGUGCCAGCAGCCGCGGUAAUACGUAGGUGGCAAGCGUUAUCCGGAUUUAUUGGGCGUAAAGCGAGCGCAGGCGGUCUUUUAAGUCUAAUGUGAAAGCCUUCGGCUCAACCGAAGAAGUGCAUUGGAAACUGGGAGACUUGAGUGCAGAAGAGGACAGUGGAACUCCAUGUGUAGCGGUGAAAUGCGUAGAUAUAUGGAAGAACACCAGUGGCGAAGGCGGCU